UAGAGCAUAAUUUCUGUUUUUUGUCCUUGAGAAGGCUCGUCUUCCUCUUGCGGAAGCUCUCCGCUCCGCAUGCAGCUGCUCAUUCUCGUAUCGCACGUCUGCAUCAACUCCUCUUCCGCAUCUCUGUCGAGUUAUGACUUGUGACCUAUUUUGCUGAUGGCUGGUCAAAUUUGUCGUGGAAAGGGAAGGCUCAAUGAGGCAGCACAUUGUUGUAGUUAGGCUUUAGCAGUCGUUGUCUGCCCCAAUUAAUUGUCACAGCAACCUUUGGGGGAAUAUGAUGAAGGUUCAUGGUCCAUUACAAGAACAUAUGUUGCUGGCAACCGAAACUGUUUGAUAUCGGCAUUUCCAAUGGGUUAAACACUUGCUGGAAGCUCGAGUCUAGACAUAGAAUUGAGUUGCAGCUUAUGAGACCAAGAG